rnacentral:rRNA from 1 species
CAGUCGCCACGGUAAUACAGAGGGUGCGAGCGUUAAUCGGAUUUACUGGGCGUAAAGCGUGCGUAGGCGGCUUUUUAAGUCGGAUGUGAAAUCCCUGAGCUUAACUUAGGAAUUGCAUUCGAUACUGGGAAGCUAGAGUAUGGGAGAGGAUGGUAGAAUUCCAGGUGUAGCGGUGAAAUGCGUAGAGAUCUGGAGGAAUACCGAUGGCGAAGGCAGCCAUCUGGCCUAACACUGACGCUGAGGUACGAAAGCAUGGGGAGCAAACAGGAUUAGAUACCCCGGUAGUCCCUGUCUCUUAUAC